rnacentral:misc_RNA from 1 species
AACGAUACACAGCGCAUCAAUUAUGCGCCUCAAUCGCUGCGCUACGCUGCCAGCGCAUUUAUGAUUAACGCACAUAAUUUUAAUUCUUUGUAAUUUUGCUGUUUUAUUAAUAGCAGAAAAUACAAAAUUACAAAUACACGCGGCCGCAUCGCUCGCAGCGAUUACAGUUAUCGAUAUCGUGAAAAGCUGUGGAUGAUACUGUUAUCGUAACCUGCAUCGUAUAAUCGCAAUUUAUAAGUGUACUAUAUAUCUUUUACGUUAUUUUUAUUGAUACAAGAUUUUAUAUCAAUUUUAUGAAGAUUAGUGAUAGAUAACGAGAAAUGAAUAUUUGGAAGAAACAGGGAGGCCUCUAUUGAAAAGUGAUUGAGAUAUUAUCCAUUUAUCAAAGAAAAGUUAUGUUCAUUGACUGAACAAAUUUAAUUUAUCAAAGAAAAUCUAAUUGUUAAUUAAAUUGUGUUUGAUAUAUUCAAUAUUAUGGCUCUCCAAUAUUCAGUAAAUACAGGCGAUAGCAAUUUAGAUACUAAGAUUAUUGAAUGGCUACAAUGGAAUAAGGAUCCAAAAGCAAAAGAUGAGAUCAUUGAAUACUUAAAUAAUGGACAUAUUAAAAUAUUAUCAAAAUUGUUUCUCAAAAGACUUGAAUUUGGGACUGCAGGUCUUAGAGGUCGUAUGGGACCUGGUUAUAGCCAAAUGAAUGACUUAGUCAUUGUGCAGACUGGUCAAGGAUUAACAAAAUAUUUAAUUGAUACCAUAUUUGAUGUAUCACAGAAAGGUAUCGUUAUAGGAUAUGAUGGACGUUAUAAUAGUAAAAGAUUUGCUGAAUUAACUGCUGCAAUUUUCAUAGCCAAUGGUAUUAAAGUUUAUUUGUUUUCCAAAAUCUGCCCUACACCAUUUAUACCUUAUACCAUAUUGAAGUACAAAUGUGCAGCUGGAAUCAUGGUCACUGCGUCUCAUAAUCCAAAAGAUGACAAUGGAUAUAAAGUCUAUUGGCAAAAUGGAGCGCAGAUUAUUUCACCUCAUGAUAAAAAGAUACAAAGUUAUAUUCUUAACAAUCUUGAACCACUUGAAUCCUCAUGGAAUGUGGAUGAAAUCUAUAGUAGCUCUUAUUAUGAAGAUCCAAGAGAGGAUAUUAUGCAGCUUUAUUACCAAGAUCUAAAGGAAACGGUUCUAUAUCCUGAAGUUAACAGAGAUACCACGUUGAAGUUUACAUACACUGCCAUGCAUGGUGUUGGAUAUGAGUAUAUGAGUGCUGCAUUUGAGGCAGCAAAUUUGAAGCCAUUUAUAACAGUAGAGGAACAGAAAUUGCCAGAUCCAGAAUUUCCAACAGUGAAGUUCCCAAAUCCGGAAGAAGGAAAAAGCGCUCUCAAUCUUAGUAUAAAAUUAGCAAAUGAAAGCAAUUCGUCUAUAAUACUUGCUAAUGAUCCAGAUGCUGACAGACUUGCAUGCGCGAUGAAAACAAAAAGUGGAGACUGGCAUGUCUUUUCUGGAAAUGAACUCGGUGCAUUAUUAGGUUGGUGGAUGAUCCACACUUAUCAAGUUUUGCAUCCUGAUGUUGAUAUGAGUGAUGCAUAUAUGUUAGCAUCGACUGUUUCCAGCAAAAUCCUAGCUUCAAUGGCCAAGAAAAAAGGUUUCAAUUUUGAGGAAACUUUAACUGGCUUUAAAUGGAUGGGAAACAAAGCUAUUGAAUUGAUGGAGGAAAAUAAGGAUAUCUUAUUUGCAUAUGAAGAAGCUAUAGGUUUUAUGUGUGGUUCCAAAGUCUUAGAUAAAGAUGGUAUUAGUGCUGGUGUACGCGUGGCUGAAUUAGCAGCUUAUCUUGAAACAAUAAACUUGACCUUAUUAGAAAAAUUACAGGAAAUAUAUCAAGAAUAUGGUCAUCAUGUUAGUGACAAUUCUUAUUGGAUAUGUCAUGAUUCAGACGUUAUUAAGGCGAUAUUUGAACGACUGAGGAAUUAUUCUAGCAAACCAGAUACAGUCGACAAGUAUAUGUGAUGCAUGAGAUAGCAUUAUAAACUGACUAACCACUUUAAAAGUAUAAUAAAGCCCAAGCGCCGAUCGAGGUAUUAGUGCAUGUAUCAGCCUAGUUGACUGAUGUGUAGUUUGUUAUUAUGAUGACACAAAAUAAUGUCCACAAUAAGUAUGUAAAUAUG